UUCGUCAGAAACUCUGCAUUCUUCUUUUGAUGCUUUGAUUGUCUUUGCCUUUCUCAUGUGAUUUCGGCGGAAAUUAUGUGGUUUAAUCCGUUCUUCUCUUUUGGGCUCUUCGACGGUUUUUAUUUGUGGCUUUGGUUUGGUUUUUUUCCUGUGAUUUUGGUCGACGGUCCUUUGAUUCAUCUGGGUUUUGGUGGAGGUUUUCUAUCAUUUACUGCUCCAUCCUGUUAUUCCUAUAUCAUUCACUCCUGUUCACGUUCAGUUGGCUCAUAUUUGGCACUUCAGGCAUUAUUUAUAACGUUUGAGGCUUUUAAUUUGUUUAUCUAUAAAGAAAGAAGUCGAAGAUAGACAGACACAGAUAUGUACUAUUUGAUCAUCAA